CCGACCCUCUCAGCCAGCACCCUACCAUGUUUCUCUGAUGUACUCAGUUCUUUGUUCCCAUGAAUGCUGUUCUCGCAAGGCUACAGCCAUCGAUCUCAUGUCCUGUUGGCCGAUUCUCAGAUCCGCAGCAGCAUUAGAGAUGCAUCUAUGUACUGCUUCGGAGUACCAACUCAAGCAAGAGGUUUCUGGUCACAUCUCCAUCUGGCAUCAACCUCUGAUGUGUGGAUCCGUCAUCUCUCAGUAACUGUUUCCCUCCUAAAAUAGCAGAAGCAGCCUCAUCGAAGUGGAGACAGCUCUGUGAAGGUUCCUAAUGAUGUUCAUGGUUCCCAGUUCCUGGUGUUCCUGGCUUCUGAUGGUCCUGAGAACUAAAGCAACUGUGUGCCUUGGAAUGCUUCCUGUGUCUGCUUUGUGGCGAGUGCUCAGUAAUUAAGUCAGCUGAAGAAAAAUAAAUGAGAUAAAAUUUCAA